AACGAACGCUGGCGGCAUGCCUAACACAUGCAAGUCGAACGAGAUCUUCGGGUCUAGUGGCGCACGGGUGCGUAACGCGUGGGAAUCUGCCCUUUGGUUCGGAAUAACAGUUGGAAACGACUGCUAAUACCGGAUGAUGACGAAAGUCCAAAGAUUUAUCGCCAGAGGAUGAGCCCGCGUAGGAUUAGCUAGUUGGUGUGGUAAAGGCGCACCAAGGCGACGAUCCUUAGCUGGUCUGAGAGGAUGAUCAGCCGCACUGGGACUGAGACACGGCCCAGACUCCUACGGGAGGCAGCAGCGGGGAAUAUUGGACAAUGGGCGAAAGCCUGAUCCAGCAAUGCCGCGUGAGUGAUGAAGGCCUUAGGGUUGUAAAGCUCUUUUACCCGGGAUGAUAAUGACAGUACCGGGAGAAUAAGCUCCGGCUAACUCCGUGCCAGCCGCCGCAGUAA
rnacentral:rRNA from 1 species